CCUACGGGAGGCAGCAGUGGGGAAUUUUGGACAAUGGGCGCAAGCCUGAUCCAGCAAUGCCGCGUGCAGGAUGAAGGCCUUCGGGUUGUAAACUGCUUUUGUACGGAACGAAACGGUGAGCUCUAAUACAGUUUGCUAAUGACGGUACCGUAAGAAUAAGCACCGGCUAACUACGUGCCAGCAGCCGCGGUAAUACGUAGGGUGCGAGCGUUAAUCGGAAUUACUGGGCGUAAAGCGUGCGCAGGCGGUGAUGUAAGACAGAUGUGAAAUGCCCGGGCUCAACCUGGGACCUGCAUUUGUGACUGCAUCGCUAGAGUACGGUAGAGGGGGAUGGAAUUCCGCCGUGUAGCAGUGAAAUGCGUAGAUAUGCGGAGGAACACCGAUGGCGAAGGCAAUCCCCUGGACCUGUACUGACGCUCAUGCACGAACGACGGUGGGGAGGACGAAACGAAGGAGUAGUAUACCCGUACGGUACGUACCGACCGACCCGUAAACCGUAACGUAGUCACUACGUCGUGUUGGUUCGUUCUAC
rnacentral:rRNA from 1 species